rnacentral:rRNA from 1 species
UCCAGAGGUCUCAAGCGUUGUUCGGAUUAAUUGGGCGUAAAGGGUGUGUAGGUGGCGCCGUAAGUCGGGUGUGAAAUUUCGGAGCUUAACUCCGAAACUGCAUUCGAUACUGCGGUGCUUGAGGACUGGAGAGGAGACUGGAAUUCAUGGUGUAGCAGUGAAAUGCGUAGAGAUCAUGAGGAAGACCAGUGGCGAAGGCGGGUCUCUGGACAGUUCCUGACACUGAGACACGAAGGCCAGGGGAGCAAACGGG